GCAAGCAUAUGACUACUUGUUUUUUGGUUUAUACGUGACCAACAUUUGCAUAUUAAAAUACACAUUAUGUUGUUGUUGUCAGCCUUUCUGGAAAUUACGUUUAUAUAGGACAUAUCUGUGAAUUUUGUUUCAGGAUGGUAAAGGAGGUGGUGUUACAUUUCUGUACUGCUGGUGCAUUGAGAGACCCAAGCAAGUAUCAGGCUUUUCAUCCGUGGAACACAUGCUCCAGAACCUUCUAGCUGUUCACUUGUGAUGGAUACUCUGUUAGCCUUCACUAUUGAAUGCACUUUUAAAAAUGAUCAAAACCAACAUUUCCCACAGUAUGAAAUGUUUGCAAAAAAGGAUUACAUGCUUUGGGUGUGGACGCCAAGAAGUGACAAAAAAAGGAAGUUGGGAUCAUUACGGUUAACCCAAGCAUGUUGGAAACCAGAGAGAGGCUGAGUGCUAUCAUACACAGACCCAUGAAUCGGAGUCAAAAGUCCUCACCAGAAACUGAACAGAUGCUGAGACAAUAAUUCUUGAACUUCCCAGCCUAGAGAACAAUGAGCUACAUUUGAGGGAUGAACAAACGAAGAAAUGG
rnacentral:lncRNA from 1 species